GGGUGUGAGGGUCAUCUGGCUGUGACGUCUGUCACCCCACUGAUGGCCAGGGUUGAUUCGGCUGAUUUGGCUGGCUAGGCAGGUAUCUCCUUCCUCCCUCACUGCUCCAUGUGCGUCCCUCCCAAAGCCACGUGCUGGUGGAAAAGGACGGCCUUCCCUGAAUAGAGACGGACCGGCCUUCGGUUGAGGGUAUAUGAGAAGCUGAACUCCCCUGCUAGAACUUUCAAAUAUGCUCACAAGACCACAGAGAUUUAAAUAAAUUAAUAAAUAAAUAACUGAAAAUAAAAAAGAGAGAAGGAAUUGCAUUUCACUGAGAUCU
ensembl:misc_RNA 7SK 7SK RNA